CUGCGCCCUGCGGAGCUCCGAACACGUGCGCAGAGGCUGGCUGUGGCAGAUGCAACUGCAGGAUGACUUGAAAGUAGGGCAUCCUUCACCCAUCUGAAGGGAGGAAAUAGUGGCAGGUGACAGUCUGCAUGUGCAGUUUUCAGGUAAAUAUCCCUAUUCAUUCCAACAUUGACUACCUCCUCUGUGCCAGGCCUGUGGGCUAGUUGGUAUCUAUCAGGAAACAAAUGGGAGAUGCCUUCACCUGAAUGACAUCUACCUCCAUCAGGACCCCAGAUGUCUGACAGCCCUGUGUGACACCAAGAUAAGUAAC
ensembl:lncRNA SNHG4 small nucleolar RNA host gene 4